rnacentral:rRNA from 1 species
GAUGAACGCUGGCGGCGUGCCUAAUACAUGCAAGUCGAGCGAACAGACGAGGAGCUUGCUCCUCUGACGUUAGCGGCGGACGGGUGAGUAACACGUGGAUAACCUACCUAUAAGACUGGGAUAACUUCGGGAAACCGGCGCUCAUACCGGAUAAUAUCUUGAACCGCAUGGUUCAAUAGUGAAAGACGGUUUUGCUGUCACUUAUAGAUGGAUCCGCGCCGCAUUAGCUAGUUGGUAAGGUAACGGCUUACCAAGGCAACGAUGCGUAGCCGACCUGAGAGGGUGAUCGGCCACACUGGAACUGAGACACGGUCCAGACUCCUACGGGAGGCAGCAGUAGGGAAUCUUCCGCGAGGGGCGAAAGCCUGACGGAGCAACGCCGCGUGAGUGAUGAAGGUCUUCGGAUCGUAAAACUCUGUUAUUAGGGAAGAACAAAUGUGUAAGUAACUAUGCACGUCUUGACGGUACCUAAUCAGAAAGCCACGGCUAACUACGUG